GAGGGUAUAGCUCAGUGGUAGAGUGCAUGCUUAGCAUGUGUGAAGUCCUGUUUCAAUCCCCAGUACCUCCA
rnacentral:tRNA from 1 species